rnacentral:rRNA from 1 species
GGGGGCGACCCCGGGGGCGCGCGUCCCCGCGAGCUCUGAACACAACCCUUUGGGCGCGGCGAGCGCCAAGGAAUCGAAGCGGAAAGGGCGGCCGCCCCACCAGGCGCGAGCGCACCCCGGCCGGGGACGCGGCACCGCCGUGGGGAUCCGCCGCCCGCCUGUGAAUCUUUUAGACGACUCUCGGCAACGGAUAUCUCGGCUCUCGCAUCGAUGAAGAACGUAGCGAAAUGCGAUACUUGGUGUGAAUUGCAGAAUCCCGUGAACCAUCGAGUCUUUGAACGCAAGUUGCGCCCGAGGCCACUCGGCCGAGGGCACGCCUGCCUGGGCGUCACGCCACCCAUCGCCACCCCCCCGCGGCAUUCCCAUGCCCCGCCGGGGAGCGGAGACUGGCCGUCCGUGCCCGAGCCCUCGGCGCGCGGUCGGCAGAAAAGGAGGACACCGUGCGGCGAGACACGGCGUGUGGGGGUUGAGAGGCGACUCGUCGCCGAUCGUACGUCGCGCCCGCAUUCCGCCGCGCGCAGUGUCACCCGUGGGACCGGACUCGCCCGCAGCCGCGGGCGCUCGG